AAAUGUAAAUAAUACAUGUUACAGUUUUGUGAAAGCAUUGGAUGGUCAUGGUCCAUAAUAUUCUGAGAAUCACUUCAAAGGAAGCGCAGGUCACUAUCUCCCUACUCCCAACAAAAAGUAAAGUGGUGAAUCUGGAAAACAAAGAACUUAUAGGACUAAAACUUCACUGUGGAAACUUCUAUGGCGGCUUGUUCGACUAGGUAAUGCAACUUGUGAAAGAGUCUGUACAAGGAAGCCAGAAGUUGUUCUUACUCAUUUGAUAGUACGGUACCCUCAUCAUACAACGACCAAGUUAAUCUUCUCCUAACCCGCCGCCUGCCUUCUCGUUCUGUUGGUAUGUAGUCCUCCUUAUUGUACAAUGCCCUCCUCCUUUUUCUAGUAGCCUGGCUCUUCUCAGUUUUAGCUGGUGUCCUAACCCCAAAUGUAGGAGAAGAUGAUGGCCCUGGAUCAGAAGUGAAUGAAGCUCACAAUUAGUAUGAUUAAGACCAUAAGAUACAACAAAUAAUUGUCACAAGACCAGACCUGGGACACCCUCUGGCAAAGGCUCUAGUGUAAAAGGUGAUAGCUCAUUCUCUGCCCUUGUUUCACAGCUUAAGACAGGAGCUUCAAGUGACUCAUGUUGCCCAGGUAGAGAUUUAUUCGAUUUUCCUAGAGGUGAAUCACUCGCUGAUGCUUCAAUUGUGGGGUUAUUUGCACUAAGACUCCCACAAGUCAUGUUCUCCAGAAUAUUCUCGGAGUUUUGCCCUUCGUGACUUCUGUUUCAAUGCAAGCUUAAUCUGAUCAAUA